GUGCUGUUGGUGCAGGGGUAACACAACCUGAUGUUAUUGCAAAAACUUGUUGCAAAUGGUUUAGGUUGAGCUGGGUUCGAAUCCCACAUGGCGCA